rnacentral:rRNA from 1 species
AUUGAACGCUGGCGGAAUGCUUUACACAUGCAAGUCGAACGGCAGCACGGACUUCGGUCUGGUGGCGAGUGGCGAACGGGUGAGUAAUGUAUCGAAACGUGCCCAGUCGUGGGGGAUAACGUAGUGAAAAUUACGCUAAUACCGCAUACGAUCUAUGGAUGAAAGCGGGGGAUCGCAAGACCUCGCGCGAUUGGAGCGGCCGAUAUCAGAUUAGGUAGUUGGUGGGGUAAAGGCCCACCAAGCCAACGAUCUGUAGCUGGUCUGAGAGGACGACCAGCCACACUGGAACUGGGGCACGGUCCAGACUCCUACGGGAGGCAGCAGUGGGGAAUUUUGGACAAUGGGCGAAAGCCUGAUCCAGCCAUUCCGCGUGCAGGAUGAAGGCCCUCGGGUUGUAAACUGCUUUUGUACAGAACGAAAAGGUUUCUACUAAUACUAGGAGCUCAUGACGGUACUGUAAGAAUAAGCACCGGCUAACUACGUGCCAGCCGCCGCGGUAA